GGAGCCAGCAGGUGGGAUGUGAACUGAGGAAGCCACCUUUGGUGACGAGCCAGUCACACCUGCAGAGAAGAGAAGAUGUUUACACUCCGGACAAAAGAAUCCAGAGAGACGAAAGCAGACCCACAGUGAAGUCUGGGGUCUGGGAAACCUCCCUGAGGAGCAGAGAGGGAAUGUGAUGACCCCUGGGCAGAGAGCCCAUGCUGAUAGCCAUCAUCCACCAUCAAGGACAACUGAAAGAUCACGGUAUAGGGCGUUUCUCUGGUCUCUGAUGCACAGCCAGUAAAACAAAAGACUGUCAGGAACGGAGACCAGAUGUCUGCCCCCACCUGGAGGUCAGAUGGAGGCCCCACUGGGAUUAGGUCUAUUUUUCAGGAACUGUUAAAUCUUGGGUCAUCUGUACUUCUUAUCCUUUUGGUCUGAUACUUGAUUAUAAAAUGUGCCUUUAGAUGUUGUUCCAAAACUGUUGAGCAAGGUACAAAAGUUCUAAUAAUGCAAAAUGUCAACCUGAAGUUGGGAACAAGAGAAUAUGCCCAAAUGGGUGCUAAACAGUUUCAUUCCUCUAACCUGGAUCUAUGCCCUGAUUCAGCAGGAAGGAGAUAGAUGGGUCGUCACUCCAAAUCCCCCAAGAAUGAGGAAUGACAAAGGAAUAGGGGGAUUGAAACGGGCAAAGAGUUAGCCAUUGAUGAUUAGGUAACUAGGAGCUAAAAGUUUUUUUCUCCCUUUUGUAAGUACUAUGCUGUUCAGGCAAUAUGCUAUCUGACUCCCACUAGGCUCCUAUAGAUGACAUCUCCCUGGAGCCUGGGUCACCAUGGUAAUGAGUGUUUGAGCUGUUUUUCAGGAAUUAGAACUCCUUGUCCACUUCAGGCUGGUUCAGAUUACUAACCCGUCAACUGGGCCUGUGCAGAUGUCCAAUAAGCAACCUUUUGAUGUCAAGAGACUAAAAACUCUACCCUCAGAUCAUGCUAACACCACCAUUUUGCUCCCUUGCAGGUCAGACUCCUGUGAAGAGGAGUCUGACUACACUUGCGCAGAUCAAUUACCUCACCUCUCCUCACCUCCAAUCAUCUAUCUCCACAUUUCAGACCACCUUGCCCCCUACCCCAUAAAUAUCCCUGAGUCCUCAUUUGUGGGAAAGCAGAUUUGAGACUCAUUCCCUUGCUUCCUGACCUGGCUGCCUUGUGAUUAAACCCUCUCUCUGCUGCAAUCUUGUCAUCUGGGUGUUUGGCUUUCCGGGUGGUGGGCAAAAACAAACCUAGUUCUGAACAGCUUCACCUUUCCUGAGGGUCUGCCAUCCUGAGUGUGGAUGGCCUGGCUGGCCGGGUCCCUCUUCCAAGCAGGUAGUGUCAUGGAGCCUGACUCCAGGGCUCUCAGCAUGAGGAAAAUCACACUCUUUAUUUUUCUGAAUGAAGAGCCACCAUCCCCCUCCUCCCCACCCACCAAGCCAGUGGUCAGCCAAGCUCAGACAUUGCUGGACCUCCCCUCUCCAUGGAUAUGCUAGAACCAUCUGGGGCUCUGGGCAAGGUGAGAGGUGGUCUGACCCCUAGUCUUUGGGAAUUGCCAUGGAGCUGGUGCUGAAGCAAACUCGGGGGACUUGAAUGAGGGGUCUGAGGGCCAGAAAAUUCAUGGAACUGGAGGAAUUGGGGCCAGAGGAUAUGGGAAGUGGGGGACUAGUCUUAGCACACAAAAUUGGGAUUCUCUGCCCAGUGCACAUAGACAAGCCAAUUAAUUGCAGCAUCAGCCUUUGGGAAAAGAGAGCAGCUUUAUUCUUAGAGAUUGGUCUGCAGGGAGAACAGGGUGCAUGUGCCCUCAGAUCUGUCUCCCCAGUUCAGGAUUUGGGGCAAAAUUUAAGAGGUUAGGGAGAAAGGGCUGCACGCGGAAAUGCUGGUGGGGCAGGCUUUGAUUGGUGGGCUUCAAGCAUUUAUGGUAAGGUUCUAAACUUUUAUGAUGAGGCAAGGAAGAAAUUUGAACACCGGAUCUUCCUGAAUGAGGUACCCUUCACUUCUGGUAAGAGUCUGACUUUCAAGUUCCAGUCAUUUCCUCGUCCUUGGGUUCUGUGGGAAGAAGGAUCUUUGGUUCUGUGGUCAUUUCAGGUCACAAUCUCUGCUUUUGUGCAUGCCUGGGCUGUGUGACUUUGCAGAUUUUCUGAAUGGCAAUUCUUAAUCACUCUGUUGAAAAGAGAUGAGGUCAGUUGAACUGGUCCUGGAGAGCCCACAGUUACACUAGGUACUGGGGUUACUGGGAGUGGGGCUUGGGGGUCUGGGGAGGUGGUCUGGGACUGAGUGGAAUAGAGUUCUUUCUAGGGGGACUGAGGAUCUGGGAAUCCUGGGGACUGAAAACCAGGGGCACUUGGGGGAUGGGGCCUGGGAUGUGAAGAAAAUCUAAGACUUUGACUCAGCAGAGCAGAUUACCGGGGUCUCUAAGGAAAGCUAUGCUCUGUUUAGAGGGUCUCUGAUUUAUAAGGUCGGUGCCUGUCAUUGUCUUCAAGCUAUUUUACAACUUUGUGUUUGUAGAUAACUAAUAGCAAUGUAAAUAAUUCUUUCCUAUAGACCAGAAAAUGAAUUCCAUCCCCUGGAGGUUCAAUUGAUUUCCCUCCCCUAGUUAUGGAAAAAGCCGGUUUUGUAUCCAUUUAUAAGUUAAUUUCAACAUUCCUUUAUUCCGCAUAGAUUUAUGAUUCUUAGACUUCUCCUCUGACGCAGUUAUAACAGUCCUGGAUCCCUUAUUAAUUAAUGACUUAAAUAAAAUCUUUGCCAUGCGUUCAUUUUAUAUCUGCAUAAGAGCUAUGAUUUUACCUUUCCUGAAAGUUUUCCUGCACAGUGUCGGACGGCUUCCACUGAGAUGCCACAGUUCACCUGACAGAGCGGGCUAUUGUCAUUAAAGAGGCUGAUAGCCAAUUUGAGCUGGCAGAAGAAAGAAUCAGCAAAUUUGAAGACAGGUCAAUUGAGAUCAUCCAGUCUGAGGAAGAGAAAAAAAAAAUGAAGAAAAAUGAACAGAGUCUCAGAGUCCUAUGGGACACCAUCAAGCAUACCAAAUAUACACAUAAUGGGAGUCCUAGAAGGAGAGUAUAGAAAGUAGAAGAAAGACUAUUUAAAAAUAAUGGCUGCGGGCCGGCCCUGUGGCCAAGUGAUUAAGUUUGUGUGCUCCCCUUCUGCGGCCCGGGGUUUUGCCAAUUUGGAUCCUGGGCAUGGACAUGGCACCAUUCGUCAGACCAUGCUGAGGCAGCGUCUCACAUGCCACAGCUGGAAGGACCCACAACUAAAAAUGUACAGCUAUGUACCAGGGGGCUUUGGGGAGAAAAAGGAA
ensembl:lncRNA